AAGAUUUAUUGCUCCAGUGUUUGAGGAUUUAACAACGUAGCAGACUUGUCACGAUGCACUUAAUCCACCCGUAAAGUGGGAGUAUUGCUGGAAGUUCGAUAAUCGAACAAGCGACGGCACAUUUGGCACUAAAGGAAGUGAAAACAGUAGAAGCAAGAAGGGUUCAGUCCCUAUUUGUAAAAUGAUCGAGUGAAGAAAAACGGCGAUAACUGAGCGUGCCAUGUGACAACAUUCUUACACUGCUCAAACCAGUUCCUUGUGUGCCAUGUGUCAUAACUUCGAAACCUCAGCUAAGGACCGUCGUAAACCGAGGACCCCCGAUAAUAGCCUCUAAAGUUGGCUAUUUUGUUCAGAGACCGUUGGAUGGGAAAACCUUAUAAGACCGGUUAAGAAGGGUUAAUGUGAUCUCAACCCCGCUGUUACGCUCCUCUUCUACUCGCUACCUCUCUACUGGCCACAGAUCCAGUUUCCUGCCAAGCCCCAGGGCUUAGUUCCUGUUUGUCCUGGUGCAGGGGGGGUAACAUGUCCAGAGAGACCAACUGCUUGGUUGUGGCCAGCUGUGAGUACUUGGCAUAGCCUGGCACACACAGCCGGGUCACACCUCAGGAGACCGAGCGCCAGCGCAGACACACAUGAUCACAACCAGCGUCGCCAUCUGCCCUCUACGACUUCAGCCACAAGUCAGACCUGCAUGUAACCUACGUGGACACCCUCUCCUGCAUGCUUCUGUCUGGAAGGAGGUUUCCCCCCCCCCCCCCCCCCCAAAAUUGGAUACCAGUUCACCAGGAAGUGCAGACAGAAGCCCAGGGCUCGGAUAACCCUGCUGCACCGGGACUCACUUGCCUUGCGAAGAGGAUUAUUCGGCCUAUUUUCCACUGCAUGGUAUCUAUUUUGCUCGGAACAGCUUGAAUAAAAAUUGAAGCUUUUCCAUUGGCAAAACCAGAUACUUAAUAAUCCAGUGCUGGUCACUUAUUGCUCGAGCAGAUUUGUCAUUGCCGCAACUUUGGAGGAUACCCACAUGCCAACAUAAUCCAGUACUAUAAUCCACAGAUAUUGCUGAAACGCUCCGUUGUCUU